CGGACGCGGGAGUCGGGGCGUGUGCGAGUCAGGCACUGGGCGGCCCGGUCGCAAGCUUCACCCUCGUGCCUGGCUCAGCCUGGCUCAGCACCGCCCCCCUCCGCCCCCGGCUUCCCCGCGCAGCUGUGGCGGGUCGCGCAUCUCCGACCACGUCCUCCGCGCACGAGCGCGGACCUGCGAGACGAAGGCCUACGGGCUGGCAGGGCCGACGGAGUCGCGGGGCAAGGCGUGGGGACUGCUCGCGCCUGCCGGAUCUCAGCCCCGCAGCUGGGUUGUGGGCACCAACCCCCGGGGAACACUGGGAACUGGUGCGGGGCACGGGGUUGCGGACUCGAGGAUGAGCGAUCCACUCCGUGCGCCAUUGUCUGCGGUGUGCCCAGACUCCCGGGGGGCCUGCCGGAGGGGCGGCGAUCCCGUCGGGACUGAAGGGUCUCCCUACCUGUGCAGGUGUAGUUGCAACCGUCCUCCAACUGGAGGGACCCUGAGGGCCCUGGGGGGAGGUGGAGGACCGCCAAAGGACAGCUGCUGUCCUGGAGACGUGUUAGCACUCCUGUGAAGUGGGGUUGUCUCUGUUGCUUAAGCCGCUUUUACAAUUGAAUCCACAGCUGGAGUCACCCCAAGAGUGGCAGCAGGUGAGUUCCUGCAAGAGAGUCCCCAAACCACCCUGAGCCCCGCUGGCUGGGAUUCUGAUGAAGGAGCCCUAAGCCCCGGGCUGUUUGUUUGGAGGCAGAGAACAGGAGGAGGGGUGCUCUUCCCAUUGCAUCUGUGGGGCUGAGGACUUCAGGCUUGGUCCAAGCCUGCAGGAAAGCCUGCAGCUGGACAGCCCAGGGAGGUCCAAGCAUCUGUGCUUCUGGGUCAGGAUUUAAGAAGAAAAUGGGGCUGGAGUUGGGGUCCAAUAGUUGCUUAUGUAGCUAAAAACAUGCCUACUGUAUGACCCAGCUGCUGCACCCUCUGUGUUUACCUAAGAGGUAUGAAAACACUUAUGCCUGUGAAGACUCACCCCUCAGGGAAAAAUGGACACCAAGGAGCCUGGCUGGCUGUGUCGAGCCUCCCGUGCAGACCCUAGUGCCUGGCCACUCUGCCAUCUCCAGCUUGCCCCUGGACACUGCAGCUCCGCCAGCAGCCAGCUGAGGUGACCCCAGGCUGUGAGCCCUUGCCUGCCCAGGCCUCUCGCUCUGCAGAAAAGCAGCCUCCACACCUGCUCCACCCCAGGCCAGGCCUGGCCGCCUCACAGCCCACUGGCCUGGAGAGGGCCCCAAAGCAGUUCUAGGGCUCAGAACACCCCCAAGAUCAGCAGGCCUCCCAUCUGGGGACUCUGGAUUCUUUCCUCUCAAGGAAAACAAACCCCACACUCCCCUCUGGACAGAGCACCUCCUUGAUGAAGAAAACCCUUGUACGCCCUCAAGUGUACCCCUCUCCUGUGUGCACAGAGCCCCCCAGGAUGGGCUUCCCUGCAGGGUCCUCCCUGCCAGGAGCCCGAGGCACUGAGUGUUCCAAGGACAACAGGCCCACAGCAGUGACGCCCCACCCCAAGGCUGCGGGAUGCACUUCUGUGCCUGGCCCUGGGGCAUGGUGCAGCCCAGGUGGCAGCUGAGCUGUCCUCACAGGGCUCCAUGGAACCCCACACCAGGAAUCAGAGCAGGGCCCCAGAGGCUGCGUCCCUGCCUCUGGGAUUGGGGGCCUGGGCCUCCGUCCCUGCCCCACGCUCCACUUUGAAGGCCCGCUUCCACCUCACAGUGGUGCUGGGCCUUGAGGACAGGGCGGCUCACAGGCCAGCUCAUGAUGGACAGCCCUAUGCCCUGGGCUAGAGGCCAUGGCCCCGCGCCUCCUCUAAGAGGCUGGAGUCCACUCAGAAGUUGUGGGACUCUGUGCAGGUGGCCUGUCUGCUCAGCCCCUGGCGGACUCUGCCUCCACGCCUCCUGUGCCGGGGUCUUGCAGCCUUGCCGGGCCCGCGAGCCCCCGCACUGGCACCCUCUGCCCACCGAUUUCCCCAGGCUUGCCGUCUCCUCCAGGCUGUGGGAGUGCAUUGUUGAUCUCUGAUCUCGGGCCUGUCAGCACUGCCCUGGGUGGUUCAUGAGGGUCCCAGAAGGGGAGCCCCUUCCUCACCCACGAGUCUCCAGUGACCUAUGGCCGGGGUCUAGAGCCACUGCUGCAAUGCCACCACAAGGGGGCACGCGAGCCCUUCUUGGGGAGCUCCCUGGGGCUCCUGGGCCGCGGGAAACCCACCCACCAGAGCCGCAGAGGAGCGAACAGACUGGGGAGGGCCAGGCUGCCUGGCCCCGGCUCUCUUGUCCCCGAGGAACCCCCAGAGCUGGCCUCCGGCCGCAGGCUGCUCUGCUCCCACUCCCUGCUCCAGCCUCGCUGAGGUGAGAGAGGAGUCCCCAGCCUGGACGGGGCAUUUCACUGUCCUGGGGCCACAGUGGCUCUGCCCAUGUUCUGAUCCUCCUUGGCCCAGGGCCUCUUCGGUUCCCUCACAUCUCACAGGGUCAGGACUGGGCCACCUAGUCCCACCCCAGUGAGCAGAGCCGAGGUGGGAGUCUGGGUGGUCCUGGGAGGAGUCCCUGGAGGCUGGGUACCGGGCACGGGGCUGGUGUGUGUGCAGCAGACGGGAAGGCGUGUGUGUGCAGCAGACGGGAAGGCGCGAGAGCUGGGUCUCAGCACAGCUGGGGGCAGGCAGCCCCUCGAGUGCCCCCUGGGGCACCAGGAGUGCUCUGGGGCGUGGGGUGCACUGGACAGGAGGACCUUGGGUGGGGCCAGGCAGUGGAAGGAAAGGGGAGGGCCAAGGAGGCAGCCUGGAGCAAAGGGCCUCCCGUGCCCUGUAGCUCAGGGAUGACCAUGGGGGAGUCCACGGGUGGAGUGAUGGAAGGUGGGGACACCAUGCAGAGCCAGGACCCUGAGCUGCAGCCUCCUGGGCACUGUGGGCAGUAACAGGGGCCUGCUUCCCCAUUCCCCUCUGGUUGCAGGACCCACGAGCUAGGAUUCUGGAUGUGGUGUGCCAUCUGCCCUUUCCUGGCCACAACUCCUGGGUGCCAAAGCCUUGGGGACCACCGGCUGCCUGUGAGCCACCAGCAGGGCACAGAGUUCCAGGGCCAGUGGCUGCUCAGUGGGCACAGAUCACCCAGCCUCUGCAGCUAAGGAAGGACCCAUGAGUGAUCAAGGCACAAAGGAGGUGCUAGGUUCCCUGGGGACACACUGAAAGGGGGAGGAAACACUGUGGGGACAGAGCAGGCAUGGCAGUGGGAUGGGCUGUGGGUUAGGGCCAGAGGCUGGCACCCUUUCCCCACAAGCCCGGGGCUCCACAUCCUGACGGCUCUUUGGGCUCGGGCACAGCUUGAGUGAGCCCCACAUGGCCAGACUGACUGUUGGUACCAUAUCUAAAGCAGGGGCUACAGGACAGAGGCCAGCAGAGAUGGCCAGACCAAGACCUGCCCCACCCCACCCCAAGUGCACUGGCAGCUUGGAAAGUUCCUCCCAGGGGCCCUGCUUUGCCUCUGGGGCCUGACCAGCUGAGGACAGACAGGGGUCUUCAGUGUCUUCCUGCAGGAGGUGCCUCUCGGGCCCACCCUCCCGCCUCGGAGGACCCUGCCAGCUGGAGGCUGGGAGGCAGAUUUUCCUGGGGGUCAGCAGAAGGCCAGGAAGGUGGCCGUUGGUUGGGGCUGCCUGGAUCCAGUCUGGCAAAUGUCAAGGAGCGCGUAAUUUCCUUGACUUAAACGGAGGCUUAUUUAUGUUUGGAAGACUGGUUUCAAGGACUUUCUUCUUGGUGACAGCGUCAAGGGAAAUGCAGACCCACCAGGUAAGGGUGGCGUGUCCACACGCCCCGACCCCUGGCGCUCUGCUGGAGGCAGGUCUCGCCAGGACUUAAAAGCCUGGGAUGAUUUGUGCCCCUCCCCACUGAGGUCACCUGGAGAACCAGGAACAUCAGGGUGGGCUUUGGGGGAUGCUUCAGACCAGCCCAUUGGAACACGGACGGGGGAAGGCAUGGUGUGUCCGGCUGUCCCAAGAGUCCCCAAGCUGGUACCAGGUGCUUUGGGGGGACUCUGUUCCGACAGUGGAUUUUUCUCAUGCUGACUCUCCUCGUGUCCCUAAGAUGAAGUCUGCUUGCUCCUGGUGCAUGAUUCCCCACGUGGACAGCCUGGUGGGCCAGGGUGUGCACGCCCGAGUCUUGCCGUUAGUUUUUCAAGGUGUCAACAAGCUGUAAAGAACGAGCCGGUUGCUUUUGUAUGUACUGUGUGUGGAAAUGCCAGUAGCCCUCCGUCCGUCACGGCUGGCCGCCAGGUUCUUACCUGCAGAUUUAGAGGCCUGGGCUGGCUCACGAGUCAAGGCUUCAGCCACCCUGGCAUGGGGUGGGCGCUGUUUCCAUGUCCACUUGCCAGGAGAGGGUGCUAAGUGAGAGUUCAGCUCUCUGGGCCUGGUGCCUUUUUAAAGGACACACCCAGACACUGUUAGUUUGCACCCUGCCAUUGGACCAGCCAGAUUUCCUAUUGCUACUUGAGUCAACUUAGAACUUUGUGUUUUCUAAAAACA